GUAGCGGCGAGCGAACGGGGAGCAGCCCAGAGCCUGAAUCAGUGUGUGUGUUAGUGGAAGCGUCUGGAAAGGCGUGCGAUACAGGGUGACAGCCCCGUACACAAAAAUGCACAUACUGUGAGCUCGAUGAGUAGGGCGGGACACGUGGUAUCCUGUCUGAAUAUGGGGGGACCAUCCUCCAAGGCUAAAUACUCCUGACUGACCGAUAGUGAACCAGUACCGUGAGGGAAAGGCGAAAAGAACCCCGGCGAGGGGAGUGAAAAAGAACCUGAAACCGUGUACGUACAAGCAGUGGGAGCACGCUUAGGCGUGUGACUGCGUACCUUUUGUAUAAUGGGUCAGCGACUUAUAUUCUGUAGCAAGGUUAACCGAAUAGGGGAGCCGAAGGGAAACCGAGUCUUAACUGGGCGUUAAGUUGCAGGGUAUAGACCCGAAACCCGGUGAUCUAGCCAUGGGCAGGUUGAAGGUUGGGUAACACUAACUGGAGGACCGAACCGACUAAUGUUGAAAAAUUAGCGGAUGACUUGUGGCUGGGGGUGAAAGGCCAAUCAAACCGGGAGAUAGCUGGUUCUCCCCGAAAGCUAUUUAGGUAGCGCCUCGUGAAUUCAUCUCCGGGGGUAGAGCACUGUUUCGGCAAGGGGGUCAUCCCGACUUACCAACCCGAUGCAAACUGCGAAUACCGGAGAAUGUUAUCACGGGAGACACACGGCGGGUGCUAACGUCCGUCGUGAAGAGGGAAACAACCCAGACCGCCAGCUAAGGUCCCAAAGUCAUGGUUAAGUGGGAAACGAUGUGGGAAGGCCCAGACAGCCAGGAUGUUGGCUUAGAAGCAGCCAUCAUUUAAAGAAAGCGUAAUAGCUCACUGGUCGAGUCGGCCUGCGCGGAAGAUGUAACGGGGCUAAACCAUGCACCGAAGCUGCGGCAGCGACGCUUAUGCGUUGUUGGGUAGGGGAGCGUUCUGUAAGCCUGUGAAGGUGUGCUGUGAGGUAUGCUGGAGGUAUCAGAAGUGCGAAUGCUGACAUAAGUAACGAUAAAGCGGGUGAAAAGCCCGCUCGCCGGAAGACCAAGGGUUCCUGUCCAACGUUAAUCGGGGCAGGGUGAGUCGACCCCUAAGGCGAGGCCGAAAGGCGUAGUCGAUGGGAAACAGGUUAAUAUUCCUGUACUUGGUGUUACUGCGAAGGGGGGACGGAGAAGGCUAUGUUGGCCGGGCGACGGUUGUCCCGGUUUAAGCGUGUAGGCUGGUUUUCCAGGCAAAUCCGGAAAAUCAAGGCCGAGGCGUGAUGACGAGGCACUACGGUGCUGAAGCAACAAAUGCCCUGCUUCCAGGAAAAGCCUCUAAGCAUCAGGUAACAUCAAAUCGUACCCCAAACCGACACAGGUGGUCAGGUAGAGAAUACCAAGGCGCUUGAGAGAACUCGGGUGAAGGAACUAGGCAAAAUGGUGCCGUAACUUCGGGAGAAGGCACGCUGAUACGUAGGUGAAGCGACUUGCUCGUGGAGCUGAAAUCAGUCGAAGAUACCAGCUGGCUGCAACUGUUUAUUAAAAACACAGCACUGUGCAAACACGAAAGUGGACGUAUACGGUGUGACGCCUGCCCGGUGCCGGAAGGUUAAUUGAUGGGGUUAGCGCAAGCGAAGCUCUUGAUCGAAGCCCCGGUAAACGGCGGCCGUAACUAUAACGGUCCUAAGGUAGCGAAAUUCCUUGUCGGGUAAGUUCCGACCUGCACGAAUGGCGUAAUGAUGGCCAGGCUGUCUCCACCCGAGACUCAGUGAAAUUGAACUCGCUGUGAAGAUGCAGUGUACCCGCGGCAAGACGGAAAGACCCCGUGAACCUUUACUAUAGCUUGACACUGAACAUUGAGCCUUGAUGUGUAGGAUAGGUGGGAGGCUUUGAAGUGUGGACGCCAGUCUGCAUGGAGCCGACCUUGAAAUACCACCCUUUAAUGUUUGAUGUUCUAACGUGGACCCGUGAUCCGGGUUGCGGACAGUGUCUGGUGGGUAGUUUGACUGGGGCGGUCUCCUCCUAAAGAGUAACGGAGGAGCACGAAGGUUGGCUAAUCCUGGUCGGACAUCAGGAGGUUAGUGCAAUGGCAUAAGCCAGCUUGACUGCGAGCGUGACGGCGCGAGCAGGUGCGAAAGCAGGUCAUAGUGAUCCGGUGGUUCUGAAUGGAAGGGCCAUCGCUCAACGGAUAAAAGGUACUCCGGGGAUAACAGGCUGAUACCGCCCAAGAGUUCAUAUCGACGGCGGUGUUUGGCACCUCGAUGUCGGCUCAUCACAUCCUGGGGCUGAAGUAGGUCCCAAGGGUAUGGCUGUUCGCCAUUUAAAGUGGUACGCGAGCUGGGUUUAGAACGUCGUGAGACAGUUCGGUCCCUAUCUGCCGUGGGCGCUGGAGAACUGAGGGGGGCUGCUCCUAGUACGAGAGGACCGGAGUGGACGCAUCACUGGUGUUCGGGUUGUCAUGCCAAUGGCACUGCCCGGUAGCUAAAUGCGGAAGAGAUAAGUGCUGAAAGCAUCUAAGCACGAAACUUGCCCCGAGAUGAGUUCUCCCUGACCCUUUAAGGGUCCUGAAGGAACGUUGAAGACGACGACGUUGAUAGGCCGGGUGUGUAAGCGCAGCGAUGCGUUGAGCUAACCGGUACUAAUGAACCGUGAGGCUUAACCUUACAACGCCGAAG
rnacentral:rRNA from 1 species